rnacentral:tRNA from 1 species
AGAACUUUAGUUAAAUAAUAACAUUUAAAUUGCAUUUAAAAGUAGUAUAGAAUACAAGUUUUA